UACGUAGGGUGCGAGCGUUAAUCGGAAUUACUGGGCGUAAAGCGUGCGCAGGCGGUCUGUUAAGACCGAUGUGAAAUCCCCCGGGCUUAACCUGGGAACUGCAUUGGUGACUGGCAGGCUUUGAGUGUGGCAGAGGGAGGUAGAAUUCCACGUGUAGCAGUGAAAUGCGUAGAGAUGUGGAGGAAUACCGAUGGCGAAGGCGGAUCUCUGGGCCUUACCUGACGCUGAGGCGCGAAAGCUAGGGGAGCGAACAGG
rnacentral:rRNA from 1 species